rnacentral:snRNA from 1 species
GGUUCAGGUUUGGAUAGCUU